GCCUUAAUAGCUUAGAGGUAAAGUAUAUAUUUUGUAAAUAUAAGAAUAUUGGUUCAAUUCCAAUUUAAGGCU
rnacentral:tRNA from 1 species